GACGAACGCUGGCGGCGUGCUUAACACAUGCAAGUCGAACGGAAAGGCCCUGCUUUUGUGGGGUGCUCGAGUGGCGAACGGGUGAGUAACACGUGAGUAACCUGCCCUUGACUUUGGGAUAACUUCAGGAAACUGGGGCUAAUACCGGAUAGGAGCUCCUGCUGCAUGGUGGGGGUUGGAAAGUUUCGGCGGUUGGGGAUGGACUCGCGGCUUAUCAGCUUGUUGGUGGGGUAGUGGCUUACCAAGGCUUUGACGGGUAGCCGGCCUGAGAGGGUGACCGGCCACACUGGGACUGAGAUACGGCCCAGACUCCUACGGGAGGCAGCAGUGGGGAAUAUUGCACAAGGGGCGGAAGCCUGAUGCAGCAACGCCGCGUGCGGGAUGACGGCCUGCGGGUUGUAAACCGCUGUCGCCUGUGACGAAGCGUGAGUGACGGUAAUGGGUAAAGAAGCACCGGCUAACUACGUG
rnacentral:rRNA from 1 species